rnacentral:lncRNA from 1 species
AUGCAUACAAACAUUAUCAUGCUCUUUCCUGGAAGACCUCAGCAAUGGAUAUGGAUGAUGAUGAGCAAGAAUAACAGCAUCUUCACCUUGUUGAAGUUUUCGGGAUGGAAGCAUGGUCAGUUCCCUGAGGGAGAAGAGCAGAAUGCUGUAGACAGACAAGGCAGACUUUAUUGGCAACACAAAAUACUUCCUAGAAGGAGAUGGUUGUAUUUUGGACUGUGAGCACUGCUAGCAUGAGG